CUUUUACCUGAUAUUUUCCUUUAAGUUUAUUGCAUCGAUCCAACUCAUCCAAAAUCAUCAAGGAACAACCUUUUCACUUUUUAAAAAAUUUUCUGACUCUGUAUUUGAACUGGCAUAUGACUCCAUUACAUUUUUACAAAAAUUAUUUAUGGGUAAAUCCCAUAAGUUCAACAAUUCCAUCCAGUCAGUUCCAAAAAUGUUGCUCAUAUUUUUUAAUACAUAAUCUUUCACUUUUAUAGUCUUACUGUGAAAUAUAACGUUACAAAUAAUUUUGCCUUUAAAAAUUAAUUUAAUCUCUGAGAUUUCAUGAACAAUCUUUGAGAAUCCUCUGUAGUGUAGGUUUACGAUCUUUUCCAUGUAUUUUCAUUAAUUAAAGUAAUGUCACCACCUGUAUCUAACUAAUUUUACAUUUGUAUUAUUAAUUUUUAUAUACACAAAUUUCUUUUGAGUCUCAUUUGUAUUUCUUGUCAUUGAAAAUCUGUUUAUGUGAUUUUUUUGUUGAACCAUUUUGUAGGUUCUGUUUUACAGUGUGAUUUUUUUUUAUGACCCACCAUAUCAUACUCAAAGCAUUUUCAAUUUUUAUAAGGACUGUCAAAUGUAUAGUGUAAUUCUCCACAUCCAAAACAUGGGUUAAUUUUCUACUUUUCAUUAUUUACUUUUGGUUGCAACGAUUGUAUAUGAGAGCAGUUUCUCACUUCAAUUUGUUCCCUAGGUUUAUUAUUCUCUGGCAUUCCUCGGAUAUUUCUUGUAGCGUUAGCUCUAAUUUAGUCAGAAUUUGGUUACGAAUUUCCACAUCUUUCUUUGCACAAAAAUUAAUCAUUUAAACAUAUCUGGUGUUAGUUUAUGAAUUUAAAAUUUUUCACAUUCCCUAUUAACAAUUCCAGCAUAUGUAAUAAAAUCUUUGUCUUCUUUUUUGUAAUAUUCAUGCAUUGCCAAUCUCUUAUUAUAAAAGGCAGAUUUUAUCUGCCUCCCUUUGUAACUUCUGGUCUCUUUGGUAAUAUGUAAUUUCAAUAUUUCUUAUGCUUUGCUGGUGUCAACCUUCUCAACAAAAGUCAGGUUCUUUGCUAAAAAUUUCCUCAUACCUUCUAAAGUAAGCAUGGAAUGUUAUACCCUCUUCUGGGUUAUAUGCGAACUCUCUGAUUGAGUUUGCGACAGUGUCAGGGGUGAACGAACUAGAUGUAUUUUCUUUUUUCUUCUGCAUCAGUUGUACAAGCAGUUGCUGUUGCUUCUGAAAUUUCAACAACUGCUGUUGUUGUUGCUGUUAUUAAAUUACUGAAAUUAAUAAACCUUCCAUGUUCAAACAAAAAUUUUCCAGCAUGCGUUUCAAAUAUCCUCGUUGCCAAAAAUGUUAUGACAUGUAUGUACAUGUCAGGUGUAAGAAUAGUAUUACCCAAAUAAAUAUUUGGAUAUGGUUAUCUAGAAUAACUUAUUGCAGAAUUAUUAUGUUCAUACAGAAUGCACUUCGUACUACUCCAACGUAGUUACAAUAUUUGACUAACACAGUAACCAAUAUGGAUAAUCUAUACUGUCAACUGCCACUCAGUUCAUACAGUUCUUAAUUUAUUUGAAUCCAUUCACUUUCAGUUAUGUGGGGGUGUACAGGAUUUUCCCAUAACAGAGAUAAUGUAAACAUCCUAUUUCUACAUAACGUGUUAGCAAAGAUGGACACUGUUUUUAAUGUAAUGUUAAUAUUUAAAACUUUUAUUAUUGUUAUUGUUAAUACAACCUAAGCCAUAUAGUAUCAUAAAUUGAAAUGUUGAAGCUGCAUAUUAUCGCAUAAACUUAGUUGCAAAUAAGAAAUUGUACUGUUCUAAUCAACAUGCUCACAUAAAAUAUAGAAUAACUAUUCUAAGUUACACAAUAUUAUAUAAACAUUUGAGAAAUCAGAUGGGCAGAAUGCUGAAUGGAGGAGAGAAAAAGAGAAGGGUUAAAUGUCAUUACAUUAGAAUAAAAUAAAAUAGGACAAAGAUUAAAAACUUAGCUUCUGUUUUCACUUUGAAGCAGAUAAUGAAAACAUCUUAUUUCUAUAUAACGUAUUAGCAAAGAUGGCUACAAGAAAUUUGUUUAUCUUUUGUCAGUGGAAAAAUAGUUUCAAUAAAUCAAAAAUUUAUCUUGAAUGAUAUUUGAUCUGUCUUUAUUACACAAACAGCACAGCAUAAAUCUGAAGGACUGAAAUAAAUUUAAAUAUUAUAAAACCACAUUGUGGGUUGAAUAAGAAUGUAAAUACAUUCUUUUUUUUAUGUUUGGUAAAAAGAGAGGGGAAAUCUUCAGAUGGAAUAUUUCAUGAUCUGUUGACUAAUCCUCAGAGAAGACAUACAAUGUUUCCAUCCUCAAUCAGUAGCAUUGAUCAGCUACUUAUAAAUCAGUCAUAAAUUACUUGUGUAUGUGUUGUGGAAGGAUUCUGACCACUCCCAUGUGACUAAAAGUGGACUGGCACAUUGCUGUAAAUAAAGAAUGGUGAGCAAUUAGGAGUAAGCAGUUCACUGUGAGCUGUUGACUGAGAGUGCUUUAUCUCAUGGAACAAUAAUUGUAUUGCAUUGUGUAAAUACUUUAUUUCUCUGCUUUGUUAAAUUAUUUAUCCAACACCAGGAUAUAAAGUGGCAACGAGUUGUUUGAAACUUGCGUUGGAUGUUUAGAAUUUUUUUCUGGUACGAAACUAAAAAAAAAUUGUUUUAACAUGGAGGACUUAUUGGCUUCUGUGGUGCAGUUGCAACAACAACUACAACAGUAACAAUAACAAAACCAACAGUUGCUGGAAUUAAUGUUGAAGAAAUCUGAAAAUACUGCAGGUGCUUACUCAUCAGACAGUGUAGCAAAUUCAUUUGAAGAAUUCAGCUAUAAACCAGACUUUUUCUGCAUAUAAUUGAAGAUAUAAAAUCUUCAGAGAAGAAUGUGAAAAUUGGAUGGACCAGAAAAAGGUACAACACUUUUAAGAAAGUUAUCCUCUCCUGAAGAAACCAGGUGAGAUUUGUUUUGAUAAAACAAUUUUUUAUUGAAGAUUUUCAGUAAAAGAAGUUCCUUGUUCAAUAUUCACUGGCAAUGUUUAAAUUUGGUCAAAAAAGAUGAUGAAAAUUUCAUGACUUAUGAUGGGGUUGUUAACAGAGAGUAUGAAAAAAUUCAAAUUAAAUGAAUUAACCCCGAACAUGUUCAAAUGUCUGAUUUUUGUUCAAGGGCUAACUGCAUGCAAAGAUGCAGAUAUAUGUUCCCAGAUAUUAAUAAAAUUAGAACAGGACCAAAAAUUAACUCUACAGGCAGUAGCAGAAGAAUGCCAGAGGAUUAUAAAUCUAAAACAUGACAUAGAUAAAAUUGAAGAAAAAGAUUGUUCUCAUAUUCAUGCAUGUCGACAGGUAACGGAUAUGAAAAAAGAGGAAAAAAUGUCAAGACCAAAAUCCAUGUUAUGGGUGCAGUGAUCUACAUUUUAAAAGUAACUGUCCAUUUAAAAAUAUAAAAUGCUUCAAGUGUAGGUAAUAAAAAAAUCACACUGUAAAACAAAAGCUAAAAGACAGCUCAACAGAAAAAAUCAUGUAAACAAGUUAUCAAUGACAAGUAAUACAUGAGCUUUGAAAAUUACACACAGUGUUUUAGGAUAAUAAUUACUUUUUAAGGGUGAAUUAAUAAGUGAUUACUUUUCAUGGAAAACCUUGUGUUGAAUAAUAUGACACAUUUAUUUGGAAUAGACUGGAUGGAAUUAUUUAACUUAUGGGACCUCCUCAUAAAUCUUUUCUGUAAAAAUGUGAAUAGUUUUUUGCCAAUAAAAAUAAGUCACCAGAUGAAUUAAAAAAGAAAUCAAAACAGAUUUUUCCUGAGAUUCUGUCUGAUGAAUUAGGUCUGUGCACCAAAACAAAUGCGAAGUUUCAAAUAAAAGAAUAUGCUACACCAGUAUUUAAACCAAAACGAAUAGUAGCUUUCACAGCGUUAGAGAGACUAGAAAAAAUUGGAGUUAUCAAAAAGUGGAAUAUAGUCAAUGGUCAUCACCAACUGUGUAUGUUAAGAAAAAGAAUAAUAAAAUCAAAGUGUGUGCUGAUUUUUCCACUGGGUUAAAUGAAUGUCUUAAAAAUGUGCCACAAUCUGCUACCUACACCGGAGGACAUAUUUGCGAAAUUAAAUGUGGCAAGAUAUUUUCUAAAUUGGAUCUCUCUGAUGUGUACCUACAAAAUAGAGUACAUGAUGAAUGCUCUAAAUACUUAACAAUUAACACCCACAAAGGAUUCUAUAGAUACAACAGGUUACCAUUUGGCUUAAAAGUUGCACAGACGAUUUUUCAACAGGUUAUGAAUGCAAUGUUAGUGGACUGAAUUUGCAAUUCCAUAUCUGGAUGAUAUACUCAUAAAAAGUAAAUUCCAGGACC